GACGAACGCUGGCGGCGUGCUUAACACAUGCAAGUCGAACGGUAAGGCCCUUCGGGGUACACGAGUGGCGAACGGGUGAGUAACACGUGGGUGAUCUGCCCUGCACUUCGGGAUAAGCCUGGGAAACUGGGUCUAAUACCGGAUAGGACUCCGGACUGCAUGGUCUGGGGUGGAAAGCUUUUGCGGUGUGGGAUGGGCCCGCGGCCUAUCAGCUUGGUGUUGGGGUGAUGGCCUACCAAGGCGACGACGGGUAGCCGGCCUGAGAGGGUGACCGGCCCCACUGGGACUGGGAUACGGCCCAGACUCCUACGGGAGGCAGCAGUGGGGAAUAUUGCACAAUGGGCGCAAGCCUGAUGCAGCGACGCCGCGUGAGGGAUGACGGCCUUCGGGUUGUAAACCUCUUUCAGCAUCGACGAAGCGAAAGUGACGGUAGGUGCAGAAGAAGGACCGGCCAACUACGUGCCAGCCGCCGCAGUAA
rnacentral:rRNA from 1 species